ACUCCUACGGGAGGCAGCAGUGGGGAAUAUUGCACAAUGGGCGCAAGCCUGAUGCAGCCAUGCCGCGUGUGUGAAGAAGGCCUUCGGGUUGUAAAGCACUUUCAGUCGUGAGGAAGGUGGUAGUGUUAAUAGCACUAUCAUUUGUACGUUAGCGACAGAAGAAGCACCGGCUAACUCCGUGCCAGCAGCCGCGGUAAGUACGGAGGGUGCGAGCGUUAAUCGGAAUUACGUGGGCGUAAAGCGCAUGCAGGUGGUUUGUUAAGUCAGAUGUGAAAGCCCGGGGCUCAACCUCGGAAUAGCAUUUGAAACUGGCAGACUAGAGUACUGUAGAGGGGUAGAAUUUCGAGGUGUAGCGGUGAAAUGCGUAGAGAUCUGAAGGAAUACCGGUGGCGAAGGCGGCCCCUGGACAGAUACUGACACUCAGAUGCGAAAGCGU
rnacentral:rRNA from 1 species